rnacentral:rRNA from 1 species
CAUGGUAAGUGUACCGGAAGGUGUUCUUGGAAUGAGAUAUAGCUUAAUAAAAGCAUAUUGCUUACACCAAUAUAAUGCCUGUUAAACUCUGGCUGUCUCAAGCUGAAAAUCUAGCCCCCCUAACCCCCACACCUCAAUUAAAAACUAAAAUAUUUUUAUAACAGAGUAAAGACGAUUGAAAAACUAGCAAGAGCAAUAAAAAUGUACCGCAAGGGAUAAUUGAAAUAGAAAUGAAACAAAUCUAAAGCCUUAAAAAGUAGAGCUCAUCUCUCGUACCUUUUGCAUCAUGGUUUAACUAGUUUAAUUAAGCAAAACGACUUAAAGUUUAACUCCCCGAAACUAAGUGAGCUACUUCAGGACAGCCCAAGGGCCAACCCCCCGACGUUGUAAAGUCGCGGGAAGAUCCUGAAGUAGAGGUGAUAUACCUAACGAACUUACUUUUGUUUAACGGCCGCGGUAUCCUAACCGUGGAAGGUAGGUAAUCACUUGUUCUUUAAAUAAGGACUAGUAUGAAAGGCAUCACGAGGGCCAAGCUGUCUCCUUUUUCUAAUCCGUGAAACUAAUCUUCCCGUGAAGAAGCGGGAAUGUUUUUAUAAGACGAGAAGACCCUAUGGAGCUUUAAAUGAACACCACCUACAUUUUAUUUUUCAAUUCCAGAAAAUCAACAAAUACAAUGACCCCCUGGCUGUAAAUUUUAGGUUGGGGCGACCGCGGAGAAAAACCUAUCCUCCUCAUUGUUAAAGAAUUUAUCCUAAACAAAAAGCAACAACUUUAUGUAUCAAUAAAAUUGACAUCUAUUGACCCAUUAUUUGAUCAACGAACCAAGUUACCCUAGGGAUAACAGCGCCAUCCACUUUAAGAGCUCAUAUCGACAAGUGGGCUUACGACCUCGAUGUUGGAUCAGGGUAUCCAAGUGGUGCAGCCGCUACUUAAGGUUCGUUUGUUCAACGAUUAAAACCCUACGUGAUCUGAG